rnacentral:rRNA from 1 species
GCUAAACGCGAAGAACCUUACCUGGGCUUGAACUGUCGGUAUAGGGACCCGAAAGGGCGACGAUCCCGGGCAACCGGGAAGCCGAUAGAGGUGCUGCAUGGCUGUCGUCAGCUCGUGUCGUGAGAUGUUGGGUUAAGUCCCGCAACGAGCGCACCCUUGUCUUUAGUUGCCAGCGAGUCAUGUCGGGCACUCUAAGGAGACUGCCUCGGAUAACGAGGAGGAAGGUGGGGAUGACGUCAAGUCAGCAUGGCCUUUAUGUCCAGGGCUACACACGUGCUACAAUGGGCGGCACAGAAGGACGCGAGACCGCGAGGUCAAGCCAACCCUUAAAACCGUUCUCAGUUCGGAUUGCAGGCUGCAAUUCGCCUGCAUGAAGUCGGAAUCGCUAGUAAUCGCGGAUCAGCUACGCCGCGGUGAAUACGUUCUCGGGUCUUGUACACACCG